rnacentral:rRNA from 1 species
UACGGGGGGUGCAAGCGUUGUUCGGAGUUACUGGGCGUAAAGGGCUCGUAGGUGGCCAACUAAGUCAGACGUGAAAUCCCUCGGCUUAACCGGGGAACUGCGUCUGAUACUGGAUGGCUUGAGUUCGGGAGAGGGAUGCGGAAUUCCAGGUGUAGCGGUGAAAUGCGUAGAUAUCUGGAGGAACACCGGUGGCGAAGGCGGCAUCCUGGACCGAUACUGACGCUGAGGAGCGAAAGCGAGGGGAGCAAACGGG